AACGAACGCUGGCGGCAUGCCUAACACAUGCAAGUCGAACGAGACCUUCGGGUCUAGUGGCGCACGGGUGCGUAACGCAUGGGAACCUGCCCUUAGGUUCGGAAUAACUCCCCGAAAGGGGUGCUAAUACCGGAUAAUGUCUUCGGACCAAAGAUUUAUCGCCUUUGGAUGGGCCCGCGUUGGAUUAGCUAGUUGGUAGGGUAAAAGCCUACCAAGGCGACGAUCCAUAGCUGGUCUGAGAGGAUGAUCAGCCACACUGGGACUGAGACACGGCCCAGACUCCUACGGGAGGCAGCAGUGGGGAAUAUUGGACAAUGGGCGAAAGCCUGAACCAGCAAUGCCGCGUGAGUGAUGAAGGCCUUAGGGUUGUAAAGCUCUUUUACCCGGGAUGAUAAUGACAGUACCGGGAGAAUAAGCUCCGGCUAACUCCGUG
rnacentral:rRNA from 1 species